rnacentral:rRNA from 1 species
CGAGUGCGAUAUUAAUGCGACCACGCAACACGUGAGUCAUCGAGUUUUUGAACGCAUAUUGCACCCAGCCGUUAAAGCGCUGGGUCUGCCUGUCUGAGUAUUAUUAAUACCCAAUUUCAACCGGCAAGGUUGUGAGUUGGUGCUCACUGGCACACUGUCUUUCGGGAUGAUGUGUCGGUGGAUCUGGAUGUCUGGUCGGUUUGCAAUAACAGCGGACCAGUCAUUUGAAAUACAUUGGUAAUAGUUAAUCAACUGUUAAUGAUUGCCACCUGCUUCAAGCAUUGUUAAUCAUCUUUCAUUAGGUGUUCCUUGCUCACAAGCGGAUGGGUCAACGAUCAUUAGCCGGGCGGUCGACACACCUCGUGUGGCAGCCGUCUGUCUAUUCAGAAGUUAUUAAUGCCAUUUGCACAGCAGUGUGACCGAUUCAACGUCGGUUUCCCAGCUGUACACUCAUGUAUCUACUUAAUCUCAGAUCAGGCAGGAUGACCCGCUGAACUUAAGCAUAUUAGUAAGCGGAGGAAAAGAAACUAACCAGGAUUCCCUCAGUAACGGCGAGUGAAGCGGGAAUAGCCCAAUCUGAAAAGCUGGUCUGCCCCGGUGCAGGUCCCGCAUUGUAGGUUGAUGAGGCGUUUCCUAGUGCUAGACCUUUCAAUUAAAGUUCCUUGGAACAGGACAUCAGAGAGGGUGAUAAUCCCGUGAUUAAUUGAAUGACAUACCAGUCUGGUACGCUUAUGGAGCGUCUUCUUAGAGUCGGAAUGUUUGGGAUUGCAUUCCAAAGUGGGUGGUAAACUCCAUCUAAGGCUAAAUACUGGCGAGAGACCGAUAGCGAACAAGUACCGUGAGGGAAAGUUGAAAAGCACUCUGGAGAGAGAGUCAAACAGUACGUGAAAUUGCUAGCAGGGAAACGUUGGAUACCAGUACACGGCAAUCAAUGCUAAUGAUCAGUCAAUGUCCGGAACAGUUGGAGUGUGGUGGUCAACUUUGGAGAUUGUCCCAGGGCAACUCACGCGCUUCAAAUGCGUCGGAUAUUGGUGCACUCGUUGGCAGCCGGGUCAACAUCAGUUAAUGACGUCCGACAAGUCUUUAGACAAGGUAGCAUUGGCGGGUUCGCUCGUCGAUGAACUUAUAGGUCUGCUGUACGAGGAUGUCGUUGACUGAGGAUAGUCGAUUCGUGCGUUUCGGCGCAGGGCGUAUCGGCGGGGUCAAGGUUGCCCGUGGUGUUAAUCAGCACGCUGAUUGACAUUCAUUUUAGUGUAUUUAUACACUAGUGGCGAUCGUCCCGUUGGUGCAAGCCACUAGCGAAUCUAUGA